GAUGAACGCUAGCGGCAGGCUUAAUACAUGCAAGUCGAGGGGCAGCAUGACUGUAGCAAUACAGUUGAUGGCGACCGGCAAACGGGUGCGGAACACGUACAGAACCUUCCUUCGAGCGGGGAAUAGCCCAGAGAAAUUUGGAUUAAUACCCCAUAGUACAUUAGAGUGGCAUCACUUUGAUGUUAAAGAUUUAUCACUUGAAGAUGGCUGUGCGGCUGAUUAGGUAGUUGGCGGGGUAACGGCCCACCAAGCCUGCGAUCGGUAACUGGUGUGAGAGCACGACCAGUCACACGGGCACUGAGACACGGGCCCGACUCCUACGGGAGGCAGCAGUAAGGAUAUUGGUCAAUGGACGAAAGUCUGAACCAGCCAUGCCGCGUGGAGGAUGAAGGUCCUCUGGAUUGUAAACUUCUUUAUAUGGGACGAAAAAAGGGUUUUCUAACUCGUCUGACGGUACCAUAUGAAUAAGCACCGGCUAACU
rnacentral:rRNA from 1 species